CCUACGGGAGGCAGCAGUGGGGGAUAUUGCACAAUGGGGGGAACCCUGAUGCAGCGACGCCGCGUGGGUGAAGAAGCGCCUCGGCGCGUAAGGCCCUGUCAGCAGGGAAGAAAAUGACGGUACCUGAAGAAGAAGCCCCGGCUAACUACGUGCCAGCAGCCGCGGUAAUACGUAGGGGGCAAGCGUUAUCCGGAUUUACUGGGUGUAAAGGGAGCGUAGACGGCUGUGCAAGUCUGAGGUGAAAGCCCGUGGCUCAACCGCGGAACUGCUUUGGAAACUGUAUAGCUUGAGUACUGGAGAGGCAG
rnacentral:rRNA from 1 species